CCCCUAGAUGUUCUGGGCCGCACGCGCGCUACACUGAACAGUUCAACAAGUCUUAACCUUGGCCGAUAGGUCUGGGUAAUCUUUGAACGCUGUUCGUGAUUGGGAUAGACUUUUGCAAUUAUGGGUCUUCAACGAGGAAUUCCUAGUAAACGCAAGUCAUCAGCUUGCAUUGAUUACGUCCCUGCCCUUUGUACACACCGCCCGUCGCACCUACCGAUUGAAUGGUCCGGUGAAAUCUCGGGACGGCGGCUUGGUCGCUUGCGUCCGACUGCUGAAACUUGAUUAAACCAUAUCAUUUAGAGGAAGGUGAANUCGUANCA
rnacentral:rRNA from 1 species